UCCCAUACUUGGAGAUAGCACUCCCGUAGCUAGUUCGUCACUGUCGAGUAAAUCCAUUAGCUACCGCAAGAAAACCUCACCGGUAACGCUACCUGACCGACGGAGACUGGCCCGAGUUAACCACCUGCGCCUCUAGAAACUUUUGGAGACGAUAUCAGGGGGUGUGGUGAUUGGGGUGGCGGCGAAUUCCUCACCGGUCUUCUCCAUCCGCCACGGGGCCGCUGCGCUUCGUGGAUUGACCUAUACUCCGGUAAGCAUUCCCCCUCACGUGAUCGCCGUAGUUGUCCCUUUGUGUAGCGUGGGUUAAUUGAGGGUCAAGUGCACUAGCGCUCCCGGUCUUGCGCCUUCGGCGAGUGCGCCACCGUGUGGGGGUCCGCUCCGCCGCGGCUGUGCAGCGAGAGAGGAAGAGAUGGCGUGGGCCGUCAAUCACGUGAUCUGCGGCCCGGAUUAGAUGGAGACUUUCGUUUCGGUCUGGUGUAGUGUGAGUCGUUCGAUUCAGAUCGAUCAGGCGAGAGUUGGUUUUAGAGUAUUUAAAUUGGGAGAGUCAAAAUAGGUUCAAACAGCUCGGAUUGCAUAUCGGUUCGCCGUGGCUGAAUUUUAAUCUGAGACCUUGGGUUCAGAUCGGAUGGCUCUGGGUGACCGAUACUAUUUCGUCAUGGUUAAUUUACAAAAGAGUCCUUGAUAAAUGAUGAAACAAACCCACAGUCUAUAGUAAUAUUAGAAUAAUUACAGAAGGGCCCUGAAAAUCAUGAUUUGAACUCUGAACUCUUGGAAUUUUAUGCCCUCAAUCCAUCAGUUUCCUUUAAAUAUCAGAAUUAAUUAGCAAAAUAGCAAAUUAAUAUUUAAAAUGAUUUCUAGAAUAUAAAUAAUUCCAGAACCUUGUAAAAUUUAUAAUUAAUCCAUUUUAACUCCUUUUGGUCCAUUCCAGUUACAUUAAACUUAUAUUAAUAUUGUUUAUCAUCUAGUAACCUUAUAUUGCUACGAAACCUAUGGUUAAACUCAUGCACUUAAUUUGUUCUAUGUCUAACACCUAAACAUUCAGAAAAUCAUAACUCGUUAACCGUAACUUCGAAUUUAGUGAUUCUCGAACCUAGGAUCUCGUUACGAUGUGUAGAUCAUCAUUAUGCAUUAUGUUCUUCUGUUUGGUGUGAUGUUAAUUUGUCCUAUGCCAUGUUUGUUUGUAUUGUUACGAGUAGACGAGCAAGUGAUUGAGGAGCCCGUAGCUCAGUAGGUAGAAGAUACUGAGCAGGAGCUCAUUGAAGGGAAGUUGUGUGCUUGACCACUCUUCUUUACCCAAUAAUAUUCUCUAUAAUCACUGUGACAUGUUUAGGUUUAAUUUGAUGAGACCUAAUAGGUCACCCUAGUUUGGUCUAUCUUAUACCUUGAUCACCAUUGAACUUUUGGGUAGCUCUGCUAUUGCUCUAUGUGGUUUUGGGUGUUAAGAUAAAUUUGACACAUGAUCAUUCUUUAUUAUUACUGUUGAUUAUUUAUUGUUCAUGAUAAGAUUAUUGUGUAAAUUGGAACAUGGAGAACUACCCAGGAAAACAGUGCUACCACAAGGGUGGAACGAGACACCCUUGGCCAAGUAAUUAGGAAAGCUAGGGAGAGACUACCUUACCUGAAAGGGGCAAGCGGGGAGCCGUCGCUGCAGAGUAUAGGGAGGUUCUCGAGUCGGACUGUCUGUUUAGCUUUCCGGACGAGGCAUUCCUAUGCUUCCUUCUUCCUGAAUCCGUAGUGGGUUUUCUCGGACUACUGGAACUUUGAAAAUGCCUCAUAGUGCUACCCUGUCUCGUCUCCUCGGUAGAGAUGAAUGGGACUUCUAGGCCCCAUGACAAAUGGGUAGCAUGGCUUGUGGGUAAAGAUGUGCAACCUCUAUAGAGUGUAAAACUGGUACAUCAGG
rnacentral:lncRNA from 1 species